AAAAUACUCUAUUACAAACCCAAAUCCAAUAAAAUAAAACUCAAAAGCCCAAUACAAUUAACAAAACCCAAAUAAAAGCCCAAUAUAAUUAAUACCCAAUAAAAAUUUUAGGGUUUUGACAAGGAUAUGAGCUGAGCGGCUGCGGCUGCGGCUCCGGUUGUGACGGUGACGGUGAGUCGGUGAAGGUGACGACGACAGCCGCGGCAAACUCCGACCGUCCUAUUCCAGCUUUUAAGAGAGAUUGCAUUGAACGAGGUUGAUGAAGAAAGGAGAAUGGAGAUCGUAGAGGAGAACAAAGAAGAUCAAGAUGGGUUGAAGGCGGAUUGAGACGAGAACGAAGAAAAUUAAGAUGUAGAGGAGUCUUAGAAAAGAAGGAAGGAGAUGAAGAAAGAAGAACUGAAGAAGAAUGGAGAUCGUAGGGUGGAGGAGAUGAGAUCUUUUACCUCUAGGAAAUGAAUUAGAUCUAGGGUUUUUAAGUUUUUAUAGUGUGUUCCCCUAAACCGACUAAACCGAUCGGUAACCGAAUACCGAACCGACCCGAACCGAAAUCCGAUUACCCAAUUUAAUUUCGCCGAUCGGUUAGGAAGAAGCUGUUCGGUUUACGCUGAUAACCGAAAAUGUCGGUUUGAUCGGGUCGGUUUGAUCGGUUUGAUCCGAACUCCCAGGCCUAAUAGAUGAGUAGUUGUGACGAAGAUUGCAUUGUAUGUUUGUGAUGUCGGGAAUAUAUGAUGAGAACGGACCUACAAAGAAAGAACCAAAAUUCUUUAGAACAAAAUAAAAUAGUUAUAAUUAUUAAUGAAUCUUGUGUACAUAUGUGCUCUAUUUGUUAUUGAUGAAAUUGCACCCUACACCACACUACAUAACGUUUGGCCUAAUUGCCACUGGUUCGGCGGAAUCUAAUGAUUUAAAAUCCAUCCACUUGCAUACUACACAAAAUAUGUGGACUACAACGUUAUAUAUAACAACCGAAGAAAAU
rnacentral:lncRNA from 1 species